AUGUCCAGAGGAGGUUCUGGUCCGUGUGUGUGGGUUUCCUGUAAACUGUUAUUUUGAUGCUGCUGUCUUCUCUGUGGUGAAUGUUCAUGUCCAGGAAUGAAAUGGUCUGGUUUAUUUCCUCUUCCUGUGUGGAUUGUAUGUUUCCCGUGUCGUCCAUGUUGUUCAGAUGAUCAGUGAGUUCUUGUGUGUGUCCAGAUUUUAUUAUUUCCAGGAUGUCGUGGACGUAUCUUCUCCAGAGUGUGGGUCUGCAAAGCGGGGAUGGCUUUGGUUUCCAGGUCCUCCAUGAAAAAGUUACUCAUUAUGGCUGAAAGUGGAUCUUUUUUUCAACUUUAUUUUACCAGCAUUAAAACUUUGUCUGCAGAGAGAAAAGAACGACUCCGUUUUUUGCCAGACUGGAGGAUGUUGGAGGGAGUCUGUUAAUCUCUCUGGACCUGACAUUUGAAAACCUCCAUCUCUCCUCACCCUCCCAGCCCACUGAUACGGAUCUAAGACCCGACCGGCCUCUGGGGCGGCGUUUGGUGAAGUUAUCUCUGGAGGCUGCUGGAGGAUAAAUGUGGAGAUCUGCAGAUAGAAGCCAAGAAGAUGGACGGAGCUGGAGAGGAAGAAGAUCUACAGUGGUGUUCAAAAUAAUAGCAGUCCCACAUCACUUUAUCAGGACCGUCAGUGUUGAUUUAACUUAUUUCUGUAAGUUAUACCUUGAAAAAAGAAACGGGGUGCUGGGGGGAGGAGGGGAGCAGGGCCGUGCAGAGACCUUUGGAGGGGCAGG